rnacentral:rRNA from 1 species
AGAGUUUGAUCCUGGCUCAGGAUGAACGCUAGCGAUAGGCCUAACACAUGCAAGUCGAGGGGCAGACACAUGAAGUAGCAAGUACUGAUGGUGGCGACCGGCGCACGGGUGAGUAACGCGUAUGCAACCUACCUACAACAGGGGAAUAACCCGUUGAAAGACGGACUAAUACCCCAUAAUACAGGGAUCCGCAUGGGAAUAUUUGUUAAAGAUUUAUCGGUUGUAGAUGGGCAUGCGUUCCAUUAGCUAGUUGGUGAGGUAACGGCUCACCAAGGCAACGAUGGAUAGGGGAACUGAGAGGUCUAUCCCCCACACUGGUACUGAGACACGGACCAGACUCCUACGGGAGGCAGCAGUGAGGAAUAUUGGUCAAUGGACGCAAGUCUGAACCAGCCAACCGUCGCGUGAAGGAAGACGGCCCUACGGGUUGUAAACUUCUUUUGUAAGGGAAUAAAGUGAGCCACGUGUGGCUUUUUGCAUGUACCUUACGAAUAAGGAUCGGCUAACUCCGUGCCAGCAGCUGC